AGUGAACGCUGGCGGUAGGCCUAACACAUGCAAGUCGAACGGCAGCACAGUAAGAGCUUGCUCUUACGGGUGGCGAGUGGCGGACGGGUGAGGAAUACAUCGGAAUCUACUUUUUCGUGGGGGAUAACGUAGGGGAACUUACGCUAAUACCGCAUACGACCUACGGGUGAAAGCAGGGGAGCUUCGGACCUUGCGCGAUUGAAUGAGCCGAUGUCGGUUUAGCUAGUUGGCGGGGGAAAGGCCCACCAAGGCGACGAUCCGGAGCUGGUCUGAGAGGAUGAUCAGCCACACUGGAACUGAGACACGGUCCAGACUCCUACGGGAGGCAGCAGUGGGGAAUAUUGGACAAUGGGCGCAAGCCUGAUCCAGCCAUACCGCGUGGGUGAAGAAGGCCUUCGGGUUGUAAAGCCCUUUUGUUGGGAAAGAAAAGCAGCAGGUUAAUACCCCGCUGUUCUGACGGUACCCAAAGAAUAAGCACCGGCUAACUUCGUG
rnacentral:rRNA from 1 species